GACGAACGCUGGCGGCGUGCCUAAUACAUGCAAGUAGGACGCAGUUGCGAACGGGUGAGUAACGCGUAGGUAACUGCCUAUUAGAGGGGGAUAACUAUUGGAAACGAUAGCUAAUACCGCAUACUAGUAGAUGGACCUGCGUUGUAUUAGCUAGUAGGUAGGGUAAUGGCCUACCUAGGCGACGAUACAUAGCCGACCUGAGAUGGGGAUCGGCCAGAAUGGGACUGAGACACUGCCCAGACUCCGACGGGAGGCAGCAGUAGCGAAUCGUGUGCAAUGGGGGGAACCCUGACCGAGCAACGCAGCGGGAGUGAAGAAGGUUUUCGGAUCGUAAAGCUCUUUUGUUAAGGAAGCGGUACUUAACCAGAAAGGGACGGCUAACUACGGGCCAGCAGCCGCGGUAAUUC
rnacentral:rRNA from 1 species